rnacentral:rRNA from 1 species
UACGGGGGGAGCAAGCGUUGUUCGGAUUUACUGGGCGUAAAGGGCGCGUAGGCGGCCUCCGCAAGUCAGUUGUGAAAUCUCCGAGCUUAACUCGGAAAGGUCAACUGAUACUGCGGGGCUAGAGUGCAGAAGGGGCAACUGGAAUUCUCGGUGUAGCGGUGAAAUGCGUAGAUAUCAAGCGGAACACCGGUGGCGAAGGCGGCCUUCUGGACAGUGACUGACGCUGAGACGCGAAAGCGUGGGGAGCAAACAGG